UACGUAGGUGGCAAGCGUUGUUCGGAAUUAUUGGGCGUAAAGGGCGCGUAGGCGGUUGGUUAAGUCAGCUGUGAAAGCCCGGGGCUCAACCCCGGAGGGUCGGCUGAUACUGAUUGACUAGAGUACGGAAGAGGUAGCUGGAAUUCCCGGUGUAGCGGUGAAAUGCGCAGAUAUCGGGAGGAACACCUGAGGCGAAGGCGGGCUACUGGGCCGAUACUGACGCUGAUGCGCGAAAGCCAGGGGAGCGAACGGG
rnacentral:rRNA from 1 species